CAAUUAUCUCACUUAUACAAGGUCUGUUAUGCUGGUCCGCUUCCACGCAGGUUCGAGCUAUCUCAAUGCAGCUCUUCACUUGAGGGCCUUCCACGUCAAUCGAUUCAUGCCACUGAAAAGUCCAGACGUGUACAGGGAGCCUAGCCUAUUAGUUGAGUGUGUGCUAUUGCAUUGUGCUCAAUAUUCCCAAUGUCACUAGGUUCUUGCUUUGGAGAAACAAUACGUGUGAAAAUACUUGUUGUGGGACAGGGAAAGCUCACCUGACAGUGGUUGCAUUGUGGCGAGCGAGAAACGCUUGUUCGACCAAGGAGGAGGACAGGCAGGACGAGGAGUUGGUUAAUUACUCAGUUGGAGCCAGUUAUUUUGGUUCUGGGAGUCAGUUUACGAAGACGGCUGGAGAUGCUCUUAGUGUAUGGUGCUUAUUUUCACAGUGUGAUCCAACUUCAUAUUGUGAAAUUCAAACUUGGGUCACAUACGCCCCCGAGAGUAAGCAAAAAUUUGAUGAAUGUAUAUAUAUAUUAAUUUAUUUUGAAUUGGAAAGCUGGUGUACUUGUUCUAUAAUGAGUACAGCUGGGGAAAUAAAAUUGCACACAAUCUCUGUACCUUUAAGAUAA